GGAAGGUGCGAGGAUGAGAGACUUGGAGAGAGAACUCGGCCUGUGUGGUUUGGAGAGGAUCGCAGCCCGCCCUUGUUGGAAACUGCGGAUAAACCUCGUAAUUUUUUCAUCUCAUUCCGUCUCGAAGCAAUCCUGAAACCGAAUCACCCUCAAGCGAUCGAUAUUUCUUCCUCUCGAUCUAUCUUCGAUCGCAUUGAUCUCUUGUUUCAUUGCCUCGGUCGAUCAGGGUUUUCGGAUCUGGGCUUCGUUGCGUGGAAAGAUGGCGGAGAUACGAUUGCCUUUUCAAGUACAUCAUCAUCGGCGAUAUAGGUCGUUUUCUGCUCGGUACGCGAGAGUCGUCUCCUGAGUCAGUUCUUUCGAAAAUUUAGUUGCUUGACGCGAAGAUACUAUUUCAUUGGAUGAACCAGCCAGCAAAAUGAAUGACAAGCAUUUGACGCAAAGCUUUAUAGACUGGACAAGGAUCUUUCACAUCAAUCACCAUAUCUUAUAUAAGGUGAUUCUGGUGCAUUGCUUGUCCAUGACAUCACUAGGAGGGAGACAUUCAAUCAUCUCGAAAGCCGGCUGGAAGAUGCUCAAUCAUGUUCACAGAAGCUGCAGCACUGAGGAGGGAUAACAAUUUGCCAAAGAGCCUGGCUUGAUCUUUAUGGAAGCCUCGGUAGGAAUUGCACCCGAUGUAGAGGAGGUAUCUGACAGUUGUUGACCGGCACUGGAACCAUUGACUUCACUUGUUUGGCUCAUCCUCUCCACCUUCUCUUCUCUAUUAGCGUGGGCUAAGAUUCCUGCAUAACUGCAUAACCAAUGGUUUGAUCAAUCAUCAACCACAUACUUCCUGACAACAGUGUGGAUUGGGUGGCUGUACUCGAGUUGAGUUGUUCGAUGGACGCUGCUGAAUAAAGAAAAGGAUGUGGAAGAGCCUACCUUUGUGAAAUAUCAUUAUUAUUAUACACAAGCUAUCAUCCAUCAGAGAUCUAAGAAAUAAGAAGAAUCCGUUCUUCAGAAAGCAGGAGGGGCGCCGCCGGGGAAGAAGAGCCGCCCACCGGGGAAGCCGCC